GCCCGGAUAGCUCAGUCGGUAGAGCAGAGGAUUGAAAAUCCUCGUGUCGGUGGUUUGAUUCCGCCUCCGGGCACCA
rnacentral:tRNA from 1 species